UACGUAGGGUGCGAGCGUUAAUCGGAAUUACUGGGCGUAAAGCGUGCGCAGGCGGUUCGCUGUGUCCUGUGUGAAAGCCCCGGGCUUAACCUGGGAAUGGCAUGGGAAACUGGCGGGCUGGAGUGUGGCAGAGGGGGGUGGAAUUCCGCGUGUAGCAGUGAAAUGCGUAGAGAUGCGGAGGAACACCGAUGGCGAAGGCAGCCCCCUGGGCUAACACUGACGCUCAGGCACGAAAGCGUGGGGAGCGAACCGG
rnacentral:rRNA from 1 species